rnacentral:rRNA from 1 species
UCGGAAAGGAUCAUUA